AGUUUGAUUAUGGCUCAGGAUGAACGCUAGCUACAGGCUUAACACAUGCAAGUCGAGGGGCAGCAUAACGAAAGCUUGCUUUGUUGAUGGCGACCGGCGCACGGGUGAGUAACGCGUAUCCAACCUUCCCCAUAGUAGAGGAUAGCCCGGCGAAAGUCGGAUUAAUACUCUAUGUUGUAUUUUGAGGACAUCUGACGAAUACCAAAGAUUGAUCGCUAUGGGAUGGGGAUGCGUCUGAUUAGCUUGUUGGCGGGUAACGGCCCACCAAGGCGACGAUCAGUAGGGGUUCUGAGAGGAAGGUCCCCCACAUUGGUACUGAGACACGGACCAAACUCCUACGGGAGGCAGCAGUGAGGAAUAUUGGUCAAUGGGCGAGAGCCUGAACCAGCCAAGUAGCGUGCCAGGAUGACUGCCCUAUGGGUUGUAAACUGCUUUUAUGCGGGAAUAAAGUCAGGUACGUGUACCUGUUUGUAUGUACCGCAUGAAUAAGGACCGGCUAAUUCCGUGCCAGCCGCGGC
rnacentral:rRNA from 1 species